ACGAACGCUGGCGGCGUGCUUAACACCUGCCAGUCGAACGGAAAGGCCCUGCUUGCAGGGUACUCGAGUGGCGAACGGGUGAGUAACACGUGGGUGAUCUGCCCUGCACUUCGGGAUAAGCCUGGGAAACUGGGUCUAAUACCGGAUAGGAGCCAUUUUUAGUGUGAUGGUUGGAAAGUUUUUUCGGUGUAGGAUGAGCUCGCGGCCUAUCAGCUUGUUGGUGGGGUAAUGGCCUACCAAGGCGGCGACGGGUAGCCGGCCUGAGAGGGUGGACGGCCACAUUGGGACUGAGAUACGGCCCAGACUCCUACGGGAGGCAGCAGUGGGGAAUAUUGCACAAUGGGCGCAAGCCUGAUGCAGCGACGCCGCGUGGGGGAUGACGGCCUUCGGGUUGUAAACUCCUUUCGCUAGGGACGAAGCUUUUUGUGACGGUACCUAGAUAAGAAGCACCGGCUAACUACGUG
rnacentral:rRNA from 1 species